AGUGAAAUAAAGUUUUCACAAAAUCUCUUUGAAGUAUCAGAAGUACAACUUUAGAUUUUGAAGCUUUUUCUUAGCCAUCGUUUACUUUUUAGGAGACAGAUCUCAAGUGGAGACAGACAUGUGAGUCCUCAGAGGUGGUAAAGACAUGAGGAGGACCAAGGACAGUCUGUGGAGGGGUGAGAUGCUCCCUCACCCCUUUCUCGACUGUGCUCCCUUAGUCACCUCCACCUCUACUCAGUAUAGCGUCCCGCCCUGCUGAGUCCUCAUCCCGAGCCUGGACAGACCCUCCUGGGCACUGAGCUCAGUGCAGUGACUUACACCUUGUGCCUGAAGGACAGAGAUGGAUUAC
rnacentral:lncRNA from 1 species